UGCAGUCGAGCGGAUUGAUGGGAGCUUGCUCCCUGAUAUCAGCGGCGGACGGGUGAGUAACACGUGGGUAACCUGCCUGUAAGACUGGGAUAACUCCGGGAAACCGGGGCUAAUACCGGAUAACUCAUUUCCUCGCAUGAGGAAAUGUUGAAAGGUGGCUUCGGCUAUCACUUACAGAUGGACCCGCGGCGCAUUAGCUAGUUGGUGAGGUAACGGCUCACCAAGGCAACGAUGCGUAGCCGACCUGAGAGGGUGAUCGGCCACACUGGGACUGAGACACGGCCCAGACUCCUACGGGAGGCAGCAGUAGGGAAUCUUCCGCAAUGGACGAAAGUCUGACGGAGCAACGCCGCGUGAGUGAUGAAGGUUUUCGGAUCGUAAAGCUCUGUUGUUAGGGAAGAACAAGUGCCGUUCGAAUAGGGCGGCACCUUGACGGUACCUAACCAGAAAGCCACGGCUAACUACGUGCCAGCAGCCGCGGUAAUACGUAGGUGGCAAGCGUUGUCCGGAAUUAUUGGGCGUAAAGCGCGCGCAGGUGGUUCCUUAAGUCUGAUGUGAAAGCCCACGGCUCAACCGUGGAGGGUCAUUGGAAACUGGGGAACUUGAGUGCAGAAGAGGAAAGUGGAAUUCCAAGUGUAGCGGUGAAAUGCGUAGAUAUUUGGAGGAACACCAGUGGCGAAGGCGACUUUCUGGUCUGUAACUGACACUGAGGCGCGAAAGCGUG
rnacentral:rRNA from 2 species